UUCCUUGUCCACAACUCCUCCCAUCGAUGUGAAUGACACCAUUGAGUUGUAUGGCCUUAUAAUCCUGCCCUUCACUUCUUAAGAGGUUUCUGAGGUAUGGUGGAGGCUCAGUGGUGGCAGAGUAAUUUUCCCUGUUUGCAGCAUAUUCCAAAAGAGGGUGUCGUAGUUCCUUUGUUGAAUUUAAUCUUUCUUCACGCCAUAGCAAUGAUUUGCAAUAUUAGCAUUUGUAUGUUGGCCUUCCGAAGUUACAUGCCUUUCUAUUAGUACUUGUUGAGGUUGUGGUUUUGUUGUUGUCUCCAACAUUGACUCUAAUGUUAAUUUUGUUGCUUUCGCUUCUUGCACGCUUCAAUUCCUUAUCUUCUUUAGCAUUCUUUCUCAAUUGUUUAGGAGCCUCUGUGUUCAUAUUUCUUCUUCCCUUUGUAGUUCUUGUCCGCUUUGUGCUCUUCUAAAGAGGUUUCUGAGGUAUGGUGGAGGCUCAGUGGUGGCGGAUUAAUUUUUCCCUGUUUGCAGCAUAUUCCAAAAGAGGGUGUCGUAGUUUCUUUGUUGAAUUUAAUCUUUCUUCACACCAUAGCAAUGAUUUUCAAUAUUAGCAUUUGUAUGUUGGCCUUCCGAAGUUACAUGCCUUUCUAUUAGUACUUGUUGAGGUUGUGGUUUUGUUGUUGUCUCCAACAUUGACUCUAAUGUUAACUUUGUUGCUUUCGCUUCUUGCAUGCUUCAAUUCCUUAUCUUCUUUAGCAUCCUUUAUCAAUUGUUUAGGAGCCUCUGUGUUCAUAUUUCUUCUUCCCUUUGCAGUCCUUGUCCGCUUUGUGCUCCUUGAGUUUAGAGUUUUUUCUUUCUUUCUUUUUGUAUGGUGAGCUGAUAGUGCUGACGUAUGUUGGACUGUCAUCUCUGCAAAUUUGAUUUCGUCAGUGACAUAUAGAGUUUUCUUCAUAGUGUUUUGCCACUGCAGACAUGUAUGUGCAUUUGGAUAGAGACUAAUAAUGGAGGUGUCACAUAGAGUGCAUCUGGAGAUCAAUAUUGUUAUCCGGUAUGGCACUAUAAAUCAGUAAGUGUUCAGUAGUGUUGUUCUUUUUGUAGCUUUCACACUACUGUCAUGGCAGUGUGUAGAUGCAUAGAAAAAUCAUGGUGUACAGUUCAGUCUCAGAAGAGUUUUGACAUUGAAGAUUAGAAGCAUGGUUGAGCUGAGAUCAGGUGUCACAUAGAGUACAUCUGGAGAUCAAUAUUGUUAUCCGGUAUGGCACUAUAAAUCAGUAAGUGUUCAGUAGUGUUGUUCUUUUUGUAGCUUUCACACUACUGUCAUGGCAAUGUGUAGAUGCAUAGAAAAAUCAUGGUGUACAGUUCAGUCUCAGAAGAGUUUUGACAUUGAAGAUUAGAAGCAAGGUUGAGCUGAGAUCAAAUGCUGACACACACGAAGAACUGCAUGAGGAUAUUACCCGAGGUUGAUGGUGUUGAUGUCGUGUCUUCAGUUUGUUGGACGUUCUUUGUGCCUUACGAUCAUUUGGGCAUCAUGGGUGUAUAUUGGAUGCAAGUUGAUGGAGUUGUUUCCAUGCCUUCGAUUUGUCAACCAUCUUGUGUGUUUGAUUGUCCUAACAUCUUGACAAAAGAGCUA